AGAAGUAAAUGGAUUAUUAGAAUCUCCAACUUGGGAAAUUUAUAAGAUUGGACUUAAUAAAGCAAUUCUGAUAGCUUUAUAUGUCCUAUGACCAAGGGCCAACAUGAGAUUAGUAACUUAAAGUAAGUUUAGUAAUAAGGACCGGCAUGUUGGAACAUCUUAAGCACAACUUAAUCACUAAAUGUGGUAGGCUUGGGGUGUUGAUUAGGAAAUACAAUAGAGGGAGAAUAAUA